rnacentral:rRNA from 1 species
CGGAAUUCGAUUAGAGUUGAUCCUGGCUCAGAUUGAACGCUGGCGGCAGGCCUAACACAUGCAAGUCGAGCGGAUGAAGGGAGCUUGCUCCUGGAUUCAGCGGCGGGCGGGUGAGUAAUGCCUAGGAAUCUGCCUGGUAGUGGGGGAUAACGUCCGGAAACGGGCGCUAAUACCGCAUACGUCCUGAGGGAGAAAGUGGGGGAUCUUCGGGCCUCACGCUAUCAGAUGAGCCUAGGUCGGAUUAGCUAGUUGGUGGGGUAAAGGCCUACCAAGGCGACGAUCCGUAACUGGUCUGAGAGGAUGAUCAGUCACACUGGAACUGAGACACGGUCCAGACUCCUACGGGAGGCAGCA